rnacentral:rRNA from 1 species
UACGGAGGGUGCAAGCGUUAUCCGGAUUUAUUGGGUUUAAAGGGUCCGUAGGCGGAUCUGUAAGUCAGUGGUGAAAUCUCAUAGCUUAACUAUGAAACUGCCAUUGAUACUGCAGGUCUUGAGUAAGGUAGAGGUAGCUGGAAUAAGUAGUGUAGCGGUGAAAUGCAUAGAUAUUACUUAGAACACCAAUUGCGAAGGCAGGUUACCAUGUCUUAACUGACGCUGAUGGACGAAAGCGUGGGGAGCGAACAGG